GACGAACGCUGGCGGCGUGCUUAACACAUGCAAGUCGAACGGAAAGGCCCUGCUUGCAGGGUACUCGAGUGGCGAACGGGUGAGUAACACGUGGGUGAUCUGCCCUGCACUUCGGGAUAAGCCUGGGAAACUGGGUCUCAUACCGGAUAGGAGCCAUUUUUAGUGUGAUGGUUGGAAAGUUUUUUCGGUGUAGGAUGAGCUCGCGGCCUAUCAGCUUGUUGGUGGGGUAAUGGCCUACCAAGGCGGCGACGGGUAGCCGGCCUGAGAGGGUGGACGGCCACAUUGGGGCUGAGAUACGGCCCAGACUCCUACGGGAGGCAGCAGUGGGGAAUAUUGCACAAUGGGCGCAAGCCUGAUGCAGCGACGCCGCGUGGGGGAUGACGGCCUUCGGGUUGUAAACUCCUUUCGCUAGGGACGAAGCUUUUAGUGACGGUACCUAGAGAAGAAGCACCGGCUAACUACGUG
rnacentral:rRNA from 1 species